rnacentral:rRNA from 1 species
UACGGGGGGGGCAAGCGUUGUUCGGAAUUACUGGGCGUAAAGGGCUCGUAGGUGGCCAACUAAGUCGGACGUGAAAUCCCUCGGCUUAACCGGGGAACUGCGUCUGAUACUGGAUGGCUUGAGUUCGGGAGAGGGAUGCGGAAUUCCAGGUGUAGCGGUGAAAUGCGUAGAUAUCUGGAGGAACACCGGUGGCGAAGGCGGCAUCCUGGACCGACACGUGACGCUGAGGAGCGAAAGCCAGGGGAGCAAAC